rnacentral:rRNA from 1 species
UACGGGGGGGGGCAAGCGUUGUUCGGAAUUACUGGGCGUAAAGGGCUCGUAGGCGGCCAACUAAGUCGGACGUGAAAUCCCCAGGCUCAACCUGGGAACUGCGUCCGAUACUGGAUGGCUUGAAUUCGGGAGAGGGAUGCAGAAUUCCAGGUGUAGCGGUGAAAUGCGUAGAUAUCGGGAGGAACACCGGUGGCGAAGGCGGCGACCUGGGUAGAUACUGACGCUGAGGUGCGAAAGCGUGGGGAGCAAACAGG